AGCCUAGGGAGACAUCCUAGGUGAAACCUGCCCAGUGCUUUUGUCAACGGCCGCAGUAUCUUGACUGUGCUAAGGUAGCAAAAUAAUUUGGCUUUUAAAUGGAGUCGGGAAUGAAUGGAUUAAUGGGGUACAGCUGUCUCGCCCAUAUUUAGUUUAAUUUACUUACUAGGUGAAAACGCCUAGGUGCUUAGAAAAAAGACGAGAAGACCCUAGGAGUUUUGACAAAACUAUACUUUAGUAUUGUGCGUUUUUGUUGGGGCGACAUUGAAGUAAGUCUAGCAACCUUCAUUUUACUAUCUGCCGACUUCGUAUGAGAAAUUAAACUACCCUAGGGAUAACAGCGUAAUUUUUAAAAAGCUUGCGACCUCGAUG
rnacentral:rRNA from 1 species